CACCGCGACGCCUGCUGGACGACCCGCUGUUGCCUCGAUGGAAGCCUGCUCGGGGAUCACUCGUAUUACGUGGACCCGUGGAGGCGGCGGGUGCAAGCCGUGGGUCAAGCGCGCAGGCGACGAAAGCCACCACGACGCCUGCUGGACGGCCCGCUGUUGCCUCGAUGGAAGCCUGCUCGGGGAUCACUCGUAUUACGUGGACCCGUGGAGGCGGCGGGUGCAAGCCGUUGGUCAAGCGCGCAGGCGACGAAAGCCACUACGACACCUGCUGGACGACCCGCUGUUGCCUCGAUGGAAGCCUACUCGGGGAUCACUCGUAUUACGUGGACCCGUGGAGGCGGCGAGUGCAA
rnacentral:lncRNA from 1 species